rnacentral:lncRNA from 1 species
GUGUUUCCAUGACAUGAAUCUUGCCUCAGGUUCCUAACGUGGCAUGACUUUCACAUCCUGGGCUCAGGUGAUUUUCAUCUGAGACACAAAAAUGAAUAUGCAGAGUUUUCUUUGGGAUAUUUAGAUAGAAGGUACCAAGGGCAUUACUCCAAGGGAAAGGUUGGGAAAUACAUUCAACCAAACUAAUGUUUCAGGUACUUGGUUUAAAUCUACACUUACAGCUGCUUCCUUACUAAAAACUAAUGCUGUAGGGCUAUUUUUUACUAUACUGUACCUUACCUAAGGAUAAUGCCUACCUUUUUAUCUAUUCUCUCUUCUUAACUCUUGUCACUGAAGUGCCCCCAUUGCCACUGGCACCAUGCCAGGGUAGUGGCUGCUGGUAGCAGUGCAGGAGCUGGAACAAACAGCUGUGCCAUCAAUCAUCACCCUGAGGUAUUUUAAGGGGGUUUAAUUCUUUUCUCUUACAGGCAGCAUUUCUGUGGUGGCACACUUGGGCACAAACAAGACCUGGACCUCUUGUUAUAAUGUGGUUCCAACAUGGUUCAUCUCAUUACAGACACCGUGGGAGACUUUGAAUCAUUGCAAGAGCCCAAGUAGUGUAAAGUCCUGCUGGAAGAGCACUUGUCACAUUUUCCUUCCUCUUUUGACUGGUGUGUUGACCCUGCUUGGAUGCCAAGUGCCCACCAAAGCUGCUCCAUCACUCCACUCUUCAGCUGGGCAGAGGAGAGGUAAACAAGG